AAGGACCGGGAAACAAGACCAAGAGACACUCAGCAACAUUCAGCCAUUGAAUUCACCAAAAACAAAGGACACUGGGGAGAAUUCCUGGAGAAAUGCUCAUCACUUCGACAUUGAACUUGGAAACACGUACGUCAGUUCAAUAAAUCAACUUUUUUUUCUGGAAAAUUAGAGGGAUAAUUAUUAAGUCUUCAUGAACUUCAAUGACAAAAAUGAAAAUAGCACAUGGGAAAAGCAAAUGCUGAAACCAUAAAUAAAGACAACGAAGUGGCUCUCUGAUGUCCAAGCAGCAAGACCAUAACUUUUCAAUGGCCCUGAGACCCAGCUGCCUGCUUUCAUAUCACAUGCCGGCCCCAUGAAGAUGUCCUGGAAGCUCACUGGAGCUUUUCAACUAGCAAGUAUCUCAGACUCUGCUGACAGAUAGUAAAGAGAUUGGAACAGGGGAAAAACUAAGACGGAAAAACCUUCAGGGAUAUAUUUUCUUGACAACCGUGCUGCCUCAUUGAGUUUGUGAAAAGCAUGUUGCUGAGAAAGUUUUGACUGCACUGCAUGAACAGAAAGCACCCACUAAAGAGUAUGGAAGACUGCAUUAAGAGGAAGGAUGAAACAGAUGCAAUACACAGUUAAGAUCAAAGAGCCCCAUCAAUUCAUUCAGAGAGUCAAAAAUCCAGCUGAGGCUCAGAGCCCUGUCUGCAUAAUAAGAAAGGUUGACUAAAAUAUACGGAUUAAACAGAUGAGCUGUCUCCUGCAGAGGCAUGGGAGGGAAGCCCCACUGCGACACUUGUAAAGACACUUUGGAAGCUCGCACCUGCUCCUCCACAGCCAAACCUACAGGAGACCAGGAUGGCCAAAGACGUUCCACUAUUGUACUAAAUUGUUAGCUUUAAGAGAAAGAAAUAGAUAUGUCUGAUGGAUAUCUUUUUAUUUGUCAAGACAUUGUCAGUCCAGACAAACAAUAAAUUAAUAAAUCACCUCCA